rnacentral:tRNA from 1 species
GCCUGGGUGGCUCAGUUGGUUAAGCGUCCGACUUCGGCUCGGGUCAUGAUCUCAUGGUUUGGGUCAUGAUCUCAUGGUUCAUGGGUUUGAGCCCCGUGUCGGGCU